GGGCGGUUAGCUCAAUUGGUUAGAGCGUCGGUCUCACAUACCGAAGGUUAGAGGUUCAAUUCCUCUACCGCCCA
rnacentral:tRNA from 1 species